UUCUAUCAGUGCCAGUGAUGUGAUGCUAAGAGCGUCUCAGUUACUGUACUGAAAACAGUAUGUUGAUAUAAUGCUGCAACAAGAAUUAAUCGAACUUUUGGGGUCUGGUACACCAAGAAUUCUUGCAGAUAAAAUACCAGUAACUGAAAAGAGGCAAUUCGAGUUUUCAUUUCAACAAAAAGAAAAAGAGGGAGAAGCAGAAAAUGCUGUUUCACCGUUCAAAUUUAGACCUCAACGAAUUCGCGUUGCUGUAGAAGAUGAAUAUUUUGAAGAUGGGGACAUACAUCGGCACAUGUAUCUACAGGAUGUCGUAACUUCUAUUGCAGAUGAUUACCAGCCUCCAACCAUCUCUGAGUUCAGAUGUCACAUUGCGGGAUGCAUACAGUUAUUUGACACUUUGGAAGGGUACGAACACCACUACAAUUCAUUACAUCGACAUGUAUGCUCCAACUGCAAACGUUCUUUUCCUUCAAAUCGACUACUGGACAUACACAUCUUGGAGUGGCAUGACUCUCUCUUCCAGGUCAUGGCGGAGAAGCAGUGCAUGUAUGAGUGCUUGGUUGAGGGAUGUGGACUGAAAUUCAUAACAAGCAAAGAGAGGAAAAAUCAUCUUAUCAGAACGCAUAGCUAUCCGGCAAACUUCAGAUUUGACAAAUCAAAGAAAAGUGGAAGUUUUAUAAACAUAAUUCUAUAUGGUACAACAGAAUUCGAGAAAAAAAGGUCCCACAACAGAAGGAUGCUCAUAUGGAGGUUUCUGCAACUAGUCAGCCGGAGAAUGCUGAGUCAAUGGAUUUCUCCCUGACUUCAGAGCCAGAAAGCCUGAAGACUAUAGAAACUAAUCCAGUGCAUACAACUAUUCCAAAGCCACAAUAUUCAUACAAAGUUCCGCCAUCCAUUUGCUUCGGUCAAGGCUCAGUCAGAGGGUUCAGAGGAGGAAGAAGGAAGAAGUAGGCCAAAGCUUUCAGUUAAUGAAUAUUUGUCAUGUAUCCACUUGCAUGUUAAAUGUACCAUGUGUUUUUUCAGAGCAGG